GAUGAACGCUGGCGGCGUGCCUAAUACAUGCAAGUCGAGCGAACAGACGAGGAGCUUGCUGCUCUGUCGUUAGCGGCGGACGGGAGAGUAACGCGUGGAUAACCUACCUAUAAGACUGGGAUAACUUCGGGAAACCGGAGCUUAUACCGGAUAACAUGCUGAACCGCAUGGUUGAACGGUGAAGUACGGUCUUGCGGGCAGGUAUAGAUGGAUACGCGCCGCAUGAGCUAGUUGGUGCGGUAACGGGUUACGAAGGCAACGAGGCGUAGCCGAAGGAAGAGGGGGAUCGGCCACACGGGAACGGGAACGCGGUCAAGACGCCUACGGGAGGCAGCAGUAUCGUACCUGACGCAAUGGGCGGAAGCCUGACGGAACAAGGCCGCGUGAGUGAAAAAGGUCCUCGGAGCGUAAAACUCGGUUAUUAGGGAAGAACAAAUGUGUAAGUAAAUAUGCACGGCGUGACGGUAAUUAGUAAGAAAGCCACGGCUAACUACGUG
rnacentral:rRNA from 1 species